AUACGGGGGGUGCAAGCGUUAUUCGGAUUUAUUGGGCGUAAAGGGCGCGUAGGCGGCUUGGUAAGUCAGAUGUGAAAGCCCGGGGCUCAACCCCGGAAGUGCAUUUGAAACUAUCAGGCUUGAGUAUGGGAGAGGGAAGUGGAAUUCCUGGUGUAGAGGUGAAAUUCGUAGAUAUCAGGAGGAACACCGGUGGCGAAGGCGACUUCCUGGACCAAUACUGACGCUGAGGCGCGAAGGCGUGGGGAGCAAACAGGAUUAGAAACCCCAGUAGUCC
rnacentral:rRNA from 1 species